rnacentral:tRNA from 1 species
GGGGCUGUGACUCAGUGGCAAAGCAUCUGUUUGGUAUUCAGAAGGUCGUGAGUUCAAUUCUCAGCAUCUCCA